GACGAACGCUGGCGGCGUGCUUAACACAUGCAAGUCGAACGGAAAGGCCCUGCUUUUGUGGGGUGCUCGAGUGGCGAACGGGUGAGUAACACGUGAGUAACCUGCCCUUGACUUUGGGAUAACUUCAGGAAACUGGGGCUAAUACCGGAUAGGAGCUCCUGCUGCAUGGUGGGGGUUGGAAAGUUUCGGCGGUUGGGGAUGGACUCGCGGCUUAUCAGCUUGUUGGUGGGGUAGUGGCUUACCAAGGCUUUGACGGGUAGCCGGCCUGAGAGGGUGACCGGCCACAUUGGGACGGAGAUACGGCCAAGACUCCUACGGGAGGCAGCAGUGGGGAAUAUUGCACAAUGGGCGGAAGCAUGAUGCAGCAACGCCGGGUGCGGGAUGACGGCCUUCGGGUUGUAAACCGCUUUCGCCUGUGACGAAGAGUGAGUGACGGUAAUGGGUAAAGAAGCACCGGCUAACUACGUG
rnacentral:rRNA from 1 species